AUUGAACGCUGGCGGCAUGCUUUACACAUGCAAGUCGAACGGUAACAGGCCGCAAGGUGCUGACGAGUGGCGAACGGGUGAGUAAUGCAUCGGAACGUGCCCAGUCGUGGGGGAUAACUACUCGAAAGAGUAGCUAAUACCGCAUACGAUCUAUGGAUGAAAGCGGGGGACCGUAAGGCCUCGCGCGAUUGGAGCGGCCGAUGUCAGAUUAGGUAGUUGGUGGGGUAAAGGCUCACCAAGCCAACGAUCUGUAGCUGGUCUGAGAGGACGACCAGCCACACUGGGACUGAGACACGGCCCAGACUCCUACGGGAGGCAGCAGUGGGGAAUUUUGGAAAAUGGGCGCAAGCCUGAUCCAGCAAUGCCGCGUGCAGGAAGAAGGCCUUCGGGUUGUAAACUGCUUUUGUACGGAACGAAACGGCUCUGGUUAAUACCCGGGGCUAAUGACGGUACCGUAAGAAUAAGCACCGGCUAACUACGUG
rnacentral:rRNA from 1 species